UCCCUCGGUCCAGCCAGCUGUGCCGGCGUUUGUUGGCUGCCCUGCGCCCGGCCCCGCCGCGGCGGAGGUGCCCCAGCCGGAGCCCACGCCAGGCUCGGCUCUCAGUCCAGCAGGCGUGUGCGGUGGCGCCCAGCGUCCCGGCCACCUCCCGGGCCUCCUGCUGGGAUCUCAUGGCCUCCUGGGGUCCCCGGUGCGCGCGGCCGCUUCCUCGCCGGUCACCACCCUCACCCAGACCAUGCACGACCUCGCCAGCCUCGGCAGCGAAACCCCAAAGAGUCAGGUAGGGACCCUGCUCUUCCGCAGCCGCAGCCGCCUUACGCGCCUAUCCGUGUCUCGACCGGCAUCCGAAUCCUCCCUGACGUCUGAAUCCUCCGAAUCUUCUGAUGCAGGUCUCUGCAUGGAUUCCCCCAGCCCUAUGGACCCCCAGAUGGCAGAGCAGACCGAGCAGUUUGCCAUCAGACGCUUCCAGUCUAUGCCGGAUGGAUUUGUCUUCAAGAUGCCAUGGAAGCCCACACAUCCCAGCUCCAUCCAUGCUCUGGCAGAGUGGGCCAGCCGCAGGGAAGCCUUUGCCCAGAGACCCAGCUCGGCCCCCGACCUGAUGUGUCUCAGUCCUGAGCGGAAGAUGGAAGUGGAGGAGCUCAGCCCCCUGGCCUUAGGUCGCUUCUCUCUGACCCCCGCAGAGGGGGAUACCGAGGAAGACGAUGGAUUUGUGGACAUCCUAGAGAGUGACUUAAAGGACGAUGAUGCAGUUCCCUCAGGCAUGGAGAGUCUCAUUAGUGCCCCAGUGGUCAAGACCUUGGAAAAGGAAGAGGAACAGGACCUCGUCAUGCACAGCAAGUGCCAGCGGCUCUUCCGCUUUCCGUCCAUGCCCUGCUGCAUGCUCCGGCCCAUUCUCGAGAGGCUGGAGCGGCCCCAGGACAGGGACAUGCCCGUGCAGAAUAAGUGGAGGCGGAGCGUGACCCCUCCUGAGGAGCAGCAGGAGGCUGAGGAAACUAAAGCCCGCAUCCUCUGCUCAAAAUCACUGUGUCACGAUGAGAUCCAGAAUCUCCUGGACAGUGACCAUCGAGAGCUGAUUGGAGAUUACUCUAAGGCCUUCCUCCUACAGACAGUAGAUGGAAAGCAUCAAGACGUCAAGUACAUCUCACCAGAAACGAUGGUGGCCCUGUUGACGGGCAAGUUCAGCAACAUCGUGGAUAAGUUUGUGAUUGUAGACUGCAGAUACCCCUAUGAGUAUGAAGACGGGCACAUCAAGACUGCGGUGAACUUGCCCCUGGAACGCGACGCCAAGAGCUUCCUGCUGCAGAGCCCCAUCACACCCUGUAGCCUGGACAAGAGAGUCAUCCUCAUUUUCCACUGUGAAUUCUCAUCUGAGCGUGGGCCCCGCAUGUGCCGUUUCAUCAGGGAACGAGACCAUGCUGUCAACGACUACCCCAGCCUCUACUACCCCGAGAUGUAUAUCCUGAAAGGCGGCCACAAGGAGUUCUUCCCUUAGCACCCGAACUUCUGUGAACCCCAGGACUACCGGCCCAUGAACCAUGAGGCCUUCAAGGAUGAGCUAAAGACCUUCCGCCUCAAGACUCGCAGCUGGGCUGGGGAGCGGAGCCGGCGGGAGCUCUGUAGCCGGCUGCAGGACCAGUGAGGGGCCUGCGUCAGUCCUGCUACCUCCCUUGCCUUUCGAGGCCUGAAGCCAGCCGCCCUAUGGGCCUGCCGGGCUGAGGGCCUGCUGCAGGCCUCAGGUGCUGUCCAUGGGAAAGAUGGUGUGGGUGUCCUGCCUGUCUGCCCCAGCCCCGAUUCCCCUGUGUCAUCCCAU